CUCCUGCUGCCGUGUGAGAUAUGGCUGCUUCCCGUUCUGCCAUGAUGGUGCAGGAUUUCAGACGAGUAGCCACCUGGAUGAGAUACUGAUUUUCCUGCUGAGUAGGAGUUGAAACAGAAUGGAGGGUGGAGAGAAAGGAACCAGAAACAUGGAAGAAAACUGGAACCAGCUCACACAGAGCAUCUGAGGAGGAGAGGGAAGAAAAGCCUGCAGGAGCCCCUUUUGCCCUUGACUGCCCUGUCCUGGAAGUGACCCCUCACUUCUGCUCAGAUUCCAUCAGUGAGAACGAGGCACAGGGACCCACCGAGACACCAAUGGGCUGUGGGCUGAGGAAGAGAUGAGGAUAUUGACAACCAGGAGGUGGAAGUCACAGCCAAGGACACAUCUUGAGUCAUGAAGAGAAACUGUCAACUCACUGGCCUCCCGACCCUGUUUGCAUCUCACCCUCAAAGGGUUUUGGCCUCAGCGCUUGCCCGCCGGUCUCUGGAACCCUAUCCAAAUGAUUGAGAAACUGAGGUCGUGGGAGAUGAAGUCAUUUUCCUAAGGUCCCAUAGCUGGUGGGGAAAAUGAGGCCCACAAGAAGGACAUCCCUUAUCAGUGGUGGGACCAGGACACAUAAGCCCAGGGCUGUCUGACUCCAAGAUCACUUCUCUUUCUCCUCCUGGAUUCUGAGACUGAUGGAAAGAGGGGCUCUCCAGGCUCUACCUUGAAGAGGAAGUUUCUGAUGUCAAACCUGGUGCUGAGAGUUUGUGACCUUUGCUCAGCACACUGGUGGUGGGGAUCAGAGCCAGAUUAGAUUCUCCAGCCACUCUGGUCUCUUUCCAGCCUUGGUCUGUGCCUCUGCAAAGUAUUCCAUGUCUACAAAGUGUUUUUGUAUCCCUUUUCUCAAUGCUCCUCAGCAAGCAGGACUGGAAAAUAAGUCAAGUGUCCAGGCCCAGGCAUGGGACAGAUUCACUGCUGAGCUUAGGCUACCUGACACUGAAGGCCAGGGCUAGGGGGAACCCCAGGUGCUUCCUGGACUGGAGGAUCCUUGUCACCAACAUAGCUGGCAUCCUGGGACCACUGCUGGAGAAAAAGGAGACGGAAAGGAAGCACGUACUGAAAACCUACAAUAGCUUCAUAUUGUGUUAGAUAUUUUUACUUACUCCUUAAUUUAACUCUGCCACAAAGCUAACAUUAUCAUCAACUUCGCCAUAGUGCAGAGGAGAGAGCUGGCUGACCCAAGGAUACACAGCUAGCAGGUGAGUGAAGCAGAGCUUGAUUCCGGUAUGACAGCUCCAGAGCCCACCUGCUUAACAGUGAUGCGUGCCCACCUGCCCUGGAAAUGGGGCAUGCACAGUGCAUUAUUAAUGAUAAAGCUCAUAUUUCUGAAUGGGUGCUGUAUGCCAUGCACACGGCCCUUUUAUGUAAUCCCUAGGACAGUCAUAGGCAAAAGGUGUUAUCGUGCCCAUUUUAUAGAUAAAACAUUCAAAACCAGGAGGUGCGCAGCAAAGUAUUCCAUGUCUACAAAGUGCUUUCAUGUCCCUUUUCUCAAUGCUGCAAAGCAGGCAGGACUAAAAAGCGAAUCAAGUACCCAGGCCAACUCAUGGGGCAGAUUCACUAUUGAGCUCAGGCCAUCUGACACUG
rnacentral:lncRNA from 10 species